rfam:Exidia glandulosa HHB12029 unplaced genomic scaffold EXIGLscaffold_65, whole genome shotgun sequence.
GGCCGCCUGGCGAAAUGGCAUCGCGUCUGACUACGAUAUCAGCACUAGCUGGUUGCGAUCAGGAGAUUGCAGGUUCGAUCCCUGCGGUGGUCA